UACGUAGGGGGCAAGCGUUAUCCGGAUUUACUGGGUGUAAAGGGAGCGUAGACGGCAGAGCAAGUCUGAAGUGAAAGCCCGCGGCCCAACUGCGGGACUGCUUUGGAAACUGCCCGGCUAGAGUGCUGGAGAGGUAAGCGGAAUUCCUAGUGUAGCGGUGAAAUGCGUAGAUAUUAGGAGGAACACCAGUGGCGAAGGCGGCUCUCUGGACUGUAACUAACACUGAGGCACGAAAGCGUGGGGAGCAAACAGG
rnacentral:rRNA from 1 species